AUGUUUUGCAGCCUGUCUGGCAGCAGCCUUUGCGGCGGCAGGACACCGGGGGAUGGGGCAGCAGCAGCGCCGGGGCGCCAGAGGCGCAGCCCGGGCUCAAGUAAGUGCCGGCACAGCCGAGGGGGUGAGCAGGCCCCGGCCCCCGCCCCGCUCCGACCGCUGCGGGGCCUCCCCCGCCCGCUCCCCGCCAGCCCUGCCUCAGCAGCCGCCACCCAGCACCCCGGAGGAGACGGCGCUCCGCCCGCCCCCAGGCCCGCACUCACCACCGCCGGGCCCUGGCUUUCCGUGCGGGCCAGGGCCGCGGCCGCCUUCAGCCUGUGGCGCGUCCGGCAGCGCCCGGCGCCGGGAGGCUCCCGCCGCUCCUCCCCUGGCGGGCGACGGCGGCGGGCACCCUCCGCCAGGCGCCGGGACGGGUCCGCCAUCGGCGGCGGCGUUGCCACAGGAACAGCUGCCCGCGGGCGCGGAGCUGAGCCGGGAUCUGCCGGGAGCGAGGCCGGGCUCGUCGCCGUCACAUCCGCGCCCCGCGCAGUGACGCCAUUCCGGGGCGGGGGCUGGGGAGGGGCCGGGAUGGCAGCGGCGAGCGGGCGGGUUGCGGCCCGCUGCGCCGCCCAAUCUCCUCCACUGUUUGCUGCCGUCUUCCAUCCCUCAUCUCGUGCUGUGGCCACUUCAGAAGAUCCUGUGUUUCCCAACAGAAGUGAGUACAACAGGAGACUGGCCGGCGGAGGCUCGGCAGAGCUGCGUCAGCUCGCACACGGACGGACGGGCGGACGGAGGCAGCAGAGCGCACGGCCUCGGCUAGACGGCAGUGUUGGCUCACGCUCCCAGCACAGCCCGGCUGCUGCUCGGGUCCGUGCAGCCGGCAAUCCCUGUGCGGGGAAUCGCCCUUCCACCUCCCUUUUUUGUCAUCUGAAAAAACCAAUGGUUCAGCAUCUCUGAAACUUCAGCCUCGAAAACAACAACCACAAAAGAGGCGCUCGGGGCGUAGGGUAGAGCAACAGCCAAAAAGGCUCAAGUGAAAUUCCCAAAGCAGAAAGAACACACCUUUUCCUUAACAGUAAAAGGUGUUUUCUCCCUUUAAUUCAAAUUUCUGCAUGUCAGUAGAGGUCCAAUUUAACAGUGAGACACCACUAAAUGAGCUUGUUAUUAAGAGGAAGUUACAGUUUUUGAAAUGGCUCUUUGCAUUCAAAUGGAAGAGAGGUGGAGAACUCUGCCACAAACACUGGAAGAGACAAAUGGUUAAAAAGAUAAAGACCUUCAAAGACCAUAUGUUGCCCCAAGCAGCCGUUAAUUGAUUUUACUGUGGUUCAGUGAGUCUGGCUUGCUUUUAAUGGUUCAUUUGGCAAGUUGUUGCUGCAGCGAUUUCUAAUAAUAAUAAUGUCAUAAUAAUCUUUUAACUGGGUGCAGAUGUGUGGCUAUUCAGGAUUGCUCUAAAAGCGAUUUCUGGACUUGGUGAGACCAAAAAACAUAGACAGUACGUUCCUUUAGUUCCUUCCUCUGUGGCACACAUCACACUUAAGAACAGACGGACAACAGUCACUCUAAGGAAGAGGAAAACGUAUUUUCUUCCACUCAUUUUGAAAUAAUUGCAGCAGUUAAGAGCCCAUGGCCAGCAGAUAAAGACAACAUUUACUUUGUUCACACUACGUGUGUUACUGAUUACAGUCAUCAAGACAAUAUAUUUUUCCUCAACAAAUUAUUUUUUGGCAGAGUGAUUUUCAUAGUUCUCCAUUACAAAAGAUAUAGAUGAUAUUUUGACUCUAUCCUUACACUGAUUCAAGUAGCAAAGUAAUCAAAAUUACUAAAAUGAUGAACUACAAUUAAGACCAUGUAUUGGAUUUUUUAUAGUGAACCAAAAGCUCAGUGCCAGCAUUAGAGUACAAAAAGAAAAAAAAAAAUUAAACCCAAGCAAGUGAAAUAACUUGCUGGUUAUGCAGCUUGAUAAUCACAUCUUAUCAAUUUUCAUCAGCUGCAGUCAUCCUGCUGUCACUACACAUUGCUACAAAGGCUCUCAAAUGCAGGAAAACACACUCUGAGUUCUCUGUUGUCAUUUUUCAGAAGUAACUGUGGAUGGACAAUACAUUUUGUGGCAGGUAAAAGUGUCUAUUGCAAGAAGGAGAAAUCCCUAGCACAAUCUCUGUUUCAAUUUCUUCCCCUUUUCCUUUCUUUAGAAGACUAAAUCCAAAAUCCACACAAAUUACUCACUUGACUUGGGGCAAAUCAUCCCAUCAAAGUCAAUAAAAGCAAACAAUUUUUAAAAAAUCA
rnacentral:lncRNA from 1 species